rnacentral:rRNA from 1 species
GAUGAACGCUGGCGGCGUGCCUAAUACAUGCAAGUCGAGCGAACAGACGAGGAGCUUGCUCCUCUGACGUUAGCGGCGGACGGGUGAGUAACACGUGGAUAACCUACCUAUAAGACUGGGAUAACUUCGGGAAACCGGAGCUAAUACCGGAUAAUAUAUUGAACCGCAUGGUUCAAUAGUGAAAGACGGUUUUGCUGUCACUUAUAGAUGGAUCCGCGCCGCAUUAGCUAGUUGGUAAGGUAACGGCUUACCAAGGCAACGAUGCGUAGCCGACCUGAGAGGGUGAUCGGCCACACUGGAACUGAGACACGGUCCAGACUCCUAAGGGAGGCAGCAGUAGGGAAUCUUCCGCAAUGGGCGAAAGCCUGACGGAGCAACGCCGCGGGAGGGAUGAAGGUCUUCCGAUCGGAAAACUCUGUUAUUAGGGAAGAACAAAUGUGUAAGUAACUAUGCACGUCUUGACGGUACCUAAUCAGAAAGCCACGGCUAACUACGUG